GACGAACGCUGGCGGCGUGCCUAAUACAUGCAAGUCGAACGAACCGCGACUAAGUGCUUGCACUAAGUCAAGGUGAGUGGCGAACGGGUGAGUAACACGUGGGUAACCUACCUCAUAGUGGGGGAUAACAGUCGGAAACGACUGCUAAUACCGCAUAGGACAUAGGAUCACAUGAUCCAGUGAGGAAAGGUGGCGCAAGCUAUCGCUAAGAGAUGGACCCGCGGUGCAUUAGCUAGUUGGUAGGGUAAAGGCCUACCAAGGCGAUGAUGCAUAGCCGACCUGGGGGGGUGGUCGGCCAAAUUGGAACUGAAACACGGCCCAAACUCCUAGGGGGGGCAGCAGGAGGAAAUCUUCCGAAAGGGACGAAAGUUGGACGGAGCAACGCCGGGGGAGGGAAGAAGGUCUUCGGAUCGUAAAGCGUUGUUUUUAGGAAAAAACAGCGCAUAGGGUAACUGCUAUGGGGGGGGCGGUAUCAAACCAGAAAGCCACGGCAAACUACGU
rnacentral:rRNA from 1 species